GUUGAAGAUAGUGUCCCAUAGGCAGGUGGAACACCACCUCUGGCAACAUCCAAAUAGUCUGAAAGAAUCAAGCAUUGAAUUUCUUUCAGCAACCUGUUUCGCCGACAAUAACACAGGAAAAAGAGCGAAAGAAAAAGCCAAGUAUGGAUCGGACUUCUGCAAAUAUUUCUGUACAGAUGGAUGCACGUGCAGAGGUGAGCUCACUGAAGUGAAUGGGAUGAAACACCACUCAAAGCUAUAGGUUUACAGCAGAGCCAGGACAAGUUGCAAACACUCCGAAGUCAGAGAGCAGCCAGCCGAGAGCACCCAAGGCUCAGAAGCUGCCGAGGGGAGAGAGCUGCUGGCAGGUUUUAACAAGCUCCCUCCAAUGGAGGUUUUUAAAAAGCACAAAACACCACAGCCAUAAAAAUGUAAUGCACUAACCUGAG
rnacentral:lncRNA from 1 species